rnacentral:lncRNA from 10 species
GCGAGGUUGUCCGCUGUUGGGAGCUGCCAGCCCUUGGCCUGGGGCCGGGCGACCCUGGGGCGAGGUGGACUCCGGUCCACGGUCGCCGCGGCUGGGUGUGGGGAGGCAAGCCAACCCACCCGGGCUAUCAGCUGUAAGGCUGACUCGAUCCCUGCAACAUCCGCAGGAACCCCUGAGCCCAGGCCCAGCCGGCCGGGGCUCCACGGGCCCUGGUCCACACUGACCCUGUGAGUGGUGACUUCCCUGAGGGGCAGGGCUCUCACUAGCCCAGGGAAUCCCACCGGGGCCAGGCUGGGCCAAGAUCCACGGCCCCCAGGGGCUGCACGGACAGCAGCUGCAGAGCAUCGAGGGCUGGAGAGGAGCACAUACUGUCCAUGGAGCUGCACCUUGGCACCAUAUUGAAAACCUUGACCUCUUCUUCUCUCGAGUUUAUAAUCUGCACCAGAAGAAUGGCUUCACAUGUAUGCUCAUCGGGGAGAUCUUUGAG